rnacentral:rRNA from 1 species
CCUACGGGAGGCAGCAGUGGGGAAUAUUGGACAAUGGGCGAAAGCCUGAUCCAGCAAUGCCGCGUGAGUGAUGAAGGCCUUAGGGUUGUAAAGCUCUUUUACCAGGGAUGAUAAUGACAGUACCUGGAGAAUAAGCUCCGGCUAACUCCGUGCCAGCAGCCGCGGUAAUACGGAGGGAGCUAGCGUUGUUCGGAAUUACUGGGCGUAAAGCGUACGUAGGCGGUUAUUCAAGUCAGAGGUGAAAGCCCGGGGUCUCAACCCCGGAACUGCCUUUGAAACCUAGAUAGCUAGAAUCUUGGAGAGGUUAGUGGAAUUCCGAGUGUAGAGGUGAAAUUCGUAGAUAUUCGGAAGAACACCAGUGGCGAAGGCGACUAACUGGACAAGUAUUGACGCUGAGGUACGAAAGCGUGGGGAGCAAACAGGAUUAGAUACCCUGGUAGUCCACGCCGUAAACGAUGAUAACUAGUUGUUCGGGCACUUGGUGCCUGAGUGACGCAGCUAACGCAUUAAGUUAUCCGCCUGGGGAUACGGUCGCAAGAUUAAAACUCAAAGGAAUUGACGG